AUGCUAAUUCUCAGCGAGCCGGGCAUGAAAUAUAUUCACAGGCGCUGCUUGGUGAAGGCCCUUUGGAGUUAUUUGAGGACAGCAAAGAGACGAGCUCUGAGGCGGAAGAGAGGGAGACUGGAAGGAUCAGCAGACAGAGCUGCCCCCGUGCUUGCCCCUGAGGGACUUCCCCGACUCCGCUCCGGUCAUGUCCUCAGACCUGGGACAUGCGACAGAGAGCCUCUCCACCCUGAGUGUGCUGGGGGCCCAGUCAGGAGGGGCUCAGGUCUGCAGAGCCGUCUCUCACCCAGCCCGUUUCGUUCGGCGUUGAGGUCUCAGGCCGCUGCCUCUGUCACAGACCCGCGUACAGAACCCCAGCUGGCUUUGAGAGGACUCCAGGUGUCUUCGCUGUGUCUACACUUGGUUUGUGUUAUCUACCCAGAACACAAGAAUAUUCAGAGGCACUCUGCAGCCCACAGGGUAAGACCCAAACUCCAACCUGAUGCGUGA
rnacentral:lncRNA from 1 species